rnacentral:lncRNA from 1 species
UGCUAUUUAAGCAGCAGUGCAUGUCUCCUCACAUUUGAGAAUAUUGAUUGGGUCUUGAAGACAGAAUAACAGAAGCGCCAGAACUCAAGCAUUUCGCCAGGAGUGGUGCUGCCUCAUCAGUCCUUCAGAUCCAGGCAGGGAAACUGUCAGCAGAACUGCUCCAAAGUCUGCUUUGUGAAAUGCAGAUAAGCGGUCUCCCAG